ACGUGAGGCAGUUGCAGUACUUGAGAGAUGGCCGCGUCCUCGGUGUAGCGUUCCGAUUUUACUGGGACUGACAACUCGAAGUAAAAACGGAACGCAGUUCGCAGUGGACUGCGUGACGUCACGGUCGGCAGUACUGGAAGUAUAUUUCGGAAUACACCCCAUGAAGGUAGCUAUAAAACACAUAAUAGAAGAGGCCAACAGAAAAAAGAGGAAGAUCACGCGAUUACUAUCUGUGAGAUACUAUUUCCACAAGUGUCAUCACCACAGUCACUGGAUUAAUGUGAAUAUUAAAUAACUUUAUUGUCUCAUAAUAAUACAAGUGAAUUAUCAGUUGUGUACGAUAAGUGUCGGAAUAAUGACAAAAAACGUUCGAUAAGCCGUGACUGCAUGUUAAGCGGCAGAAAGACGGCACUAGGGUGAGGAAAAGAGUUCAAGUGUACAGAGGAAGGAAAGAUUAGGCGCAGGCAAUUUACGGAGCGUUGACUAUUUUUGCAACGGCGAAUCAAUACAUUCUCUGUGUGCGUGCUUAUUCCAUGUAAAUAUAUCUAUAAAAAUAGACGUCGGAUCAUCGCCACGAGUAUUAAUACGGGGAACGGGUGCGAUGUUCAGUCAGUUUUGAGGUUAACAAUCGCGCAGUCGUCGUCGUUAGCGAUGAUACGAUUUUAUUUCUGAUUGCCGUCCGUGCCUCUGGCGAAACAAAGGAAGAAACUUUGCCAAAGUUCGGCGGACACGCGUACGUCUUCGGAAAUUAAUCCAGCACCGAAAGCCAUGGAGGAAUCUUCUGAAAUUUGCCAGUCGCUUAUGAAUCGUGUUUAUUACGCGGCUCGCGAUGGCAUGGCAAUAUCUCUAUACGAUAUUCUCAGCGAGCGGGGGGACCACCUGGACCAGCUUCUUAAUCAGACAGUGAUAGAAGAUGACGGCCAGCACUGCACUCCAUUGAUAGUUGCGGCACGAUAUGGUCACAGUAGGGUCGUCAAAAUGCUGGUCGAUAAAUUUAAGCCAGACUUGGAGCAGGAGGGUACUGUUAAAUUUGACGCAUAUGUUAUACAAGGAGCGAGCGCUCUUUGGUGCGCUGCAGGGGCUGGGCAUCUGAAUGUAGUUAAAACUCUUGUCAAGGCUGGAGCGAAUGUUAAUCAUCCGACGAGAACAAAUUCUACACCCUUGAGAGCCGCAUGUUUCGACGGAAGGCUCGACAUCGUUCAGUAUCUGACUGAGCAUCAUGCCGAUAUACACAUUGCCAAUAAGUACAACAACACGUGUUUAAUGAUUGCUGCGUACAAGGGACACCUCGAAGUCGUGAGUUAUCUGCUUGAUAUCGGUGCCAAUCCCAAUGACAAAGCACUGUGCGGAGCAACGGCAUUACAUUUUGCCGCUGAAUGCGGGCAUUUUCGUAUAGUAUCAGAAUUGCUAAGGUAUGAUGCUAAGAUGACAAAAAACGUCAGCGGUAUGACACCAUUGAUAGCAGCUGCCGAAAGAACAAGAACUGAAGUAGUGGAAUAUUUAGUUGAGAGAAAUGAAGUUAGCAAGGCUGAGAAGAUUGAAGCUUAUGAAUUGCUUGGUGCUUCUUACGCUAAUGAUAAAGACAAUUAUUGUGUUAGCAAAGCGUUCAAAUACCUGUACGAAGCGAUGAAAUUAAGAUACAGUGAUCCUGAGAAUAUAAUGCACAAACCAGUAUGUGCACCGAUAUCGGCGUAUGAAAAUUGGAGGGAGUCUGUUACUCUGGAACAGUUGUUAAAUAUAGAAAAUAAUCACAAUGCUAUCCACAUGGAGUCGCUUGCAAUUAGGGAAAGAAUAUUAGGAACUGAUAAUCCGGAGGUACCGCACCCAAUAAUAUUCAGAGGGGCCGUUUUUGCUGAUAACGCAAGGUUUGAUAGGUGUAUCGAUCUUUGGCUCCAUGCGUUGAAGCUGCGGCAACUAAAUAAUAUUUCGGUUGUUAGAGACUUGCUUCGUUUUGCUCAGGUAUUUUCACAAAUGAUCCAUGUCGGAAUUGACCUGCAAUUCACACAAGUUAUCAAUGUCUUAGAAGCUAGUGUGAUAGAACUAAAAAGAAAUAAAGACCAAAUAGGAAAUCUAGACUCCAAGGAUGAUUUUGAGCAAAUUAUUGAGGAAAUGGAAUCCAAUAUUACAACAGCGCUUUACAUUUUGACUAUUCUAAUGAAAUUAAUAAAGCUGAAUGAGAAGGGAAGUGAAGAGGAAAAAGUUAGCCGAGCUCAUCGGCUGGUACAUAAUUUAUGCGCACUUGGCGUAUCUCUCAGAGAUGGACAAACUCUGCUUCAUCUUGCUGUGAACGCAGAUACACCCGUGGACGAUUUUCAUACUAACAAUGUUUGCAAAUUUCCUUGCGCUGCUACUGCCAAAUUUCUUAUCCAAUGCGGGGCUGAUGUUAACGCGAUGGAUAUAAACAGGAAUACACCUCUACAUGUGAUAGUUAGUUAUCAAAAACCUAUCAGUGACUUUUUAACGCUUCAUUCGAUAAUAAUUGAUCUCACUGAGGCUGGAGCACACAUGGAUACAGUUAACAUUGAAGGAAAAACUCCAUAUGAUGCUGCAACAACUGGUGUUGCUGAGAUAAUACUUCGAAAGCAAACUAAACUUUCAUUAAAAUGUAUGGCGGCUAAAGCAGUAAAGACAUACAACUUGUCCUACUGUGGUAGCGUGCCACGUUCGCUCGAAAGUUUUAUAGAGCUGCACGGACCCGGACUUAAUCAAGGGUUUAUUAUUCAAAUUGUAUACCACCAAACUAACAAGGGCAGGGCGCGACCUUGAGAUCACCGAUUUCAAAUUCCUUUUCAUAUAAUAAAGUACUUCGCACUCUGUAGUCAAAGGUGUCCAGCAGAAAACGCAAUUUUCAAGCUGGAAUACUUGGAAAAGUCACGGAACUUCAGAUUCCAAAAAGGGACGGAUGUGUGGAAGGUGAGCUGUUGAUUAUUUCCUAUUUUACCAGUGACGUCGUCUACUGCAUGUAAA
rnacentral:misc_RNA from 1 species